rnacentral:rRNA from 1 species
AUCUCUGUAGAGUCUGCAUAUCAAUAAGCGGAGGAAAAGAAACUAACUAGGAUUCCCUCAGUAACGGCGAGUGAAGCGGGAAGAGCUCAAAUUUGAAAUCUUCAAGGUUUUACCUUGACGAAUUGUAGUUUAAAGAAGUGUUUUCUGUUGGAGUUUUGGUAAAAGUUCUUUGGAAUAGGACAUCAUAGAGGGUGAGAAUCCCGUAUUUGACCAUUACUUUCAACUUUGUGAUACACUUUCAAAGAGUCGGAUUGUUUGGGAAUGCAGUCCAAAAUGGGUGGUAAAUUUCAUCUAAAGCUAAAUACUGGCGAGAGACCGAUAGCGAACAAGUACCGUGAGGGAAAGAUGAAAAGAACUUUGAAAAGAGAGUUAAACAGUACGUGAAAUUGUCAAGAGGGAAGCGUUUGACACCAGUGUUGUUUUUCUGAAAAUCAAUUAAAGAACUGUUUAUGCUAAGUUGUUUAGACUUUAUCAGCUAUCUGUUUAGUUUUGAGCUUUUCUUUAAUGCACUUUUCAGUUAACAAGUCAACAUCAAUUUCUUUUGCUGUAAAAAAGCUUGAGGAAGGUGGCUUGAGAUUCGUCUUAAGUGAUUAUAGCCUCUUGCCUAUGCAGUCGGAGAGAUUGAGGUCUGCAGCGUAGAUCCUUCGGGGUUAGAUACAUUUGUGCUAAGUUAUAGCCUUUCAUAGACAACUUGUUGACUAUGAUCAGUCAUGUAGCUUACUCGCUUAUGCUAUUUUACCUACGCUUAGGAUGUUGACGAUCAGCUGAGCGCG